GACGAACGCUGGCGGCGUGCUUAACACAUGCAAGUCGAGCGGAAAGGCCACUUCGGUGGUACUCGAGCGGCGAACGGGUGAGUAACACGUGAGUAAUCUGCCCUUCACUUUGGGAUAACCCCCGGAAACGGGAGCUAAUACCGGAUAUGACCACCGUCCGCAUGGGCUGGUGGUGGAAACUUUUUUGGGUGGGGGAUGUGCUCGCGGCCUAUCAGCUUGUUGGUGGGGUAAUGGCGUACCAAGGCUUUGACGGGUAGCCGGCCUGAGAGGGUGACAGGCCACACUGGGACUGAGACACGGCCCAGACUCCUACGGGAGGCAGCAGUGGGGAAUAUUGGACAAUGGGCGGAAGCCUGAUCCAGCAACGCCGCGUGGGGGAUGACGGCCUUCGGGUUGUAAACCUCUUUCAGCACCGACGAAGCGCAAGUGACGGUAGGUGCAGAAGAAGGACCGGCCAACUACGUGCCAGCCGCCGCGGUAAAAC
rnacentral:rRNA from 1 species